GCGGGAAUAGCUCAGUUGGUAGAGCACGACCUUGCCAAGGUCGGGGUCGCGAGUUCGAAUCUCGUUUCCCGCU
rfam:Oleiphilus sp. HI0009 HI0009_c2319, whole genome shotgun sequence.